CCGGGUUCAGCCCUGUUUGCUCUAUCGUCUGUCUGUUCGCCAUGAAUGAGACCCUCUUUGGACCGAGAGAAGAUGGUGAUCAAUGCGAGACUGUGAGUAUGUGACGUGUGAUGUAGGAGAAUGGAUAAAAAUAGACUGAGAAGGAAAAGAGGUUAAGGAGGAGAGCAAGACAGAAGAGGGAGAGAGAUAUAGAAAGAGAGAGAUAGAGGGAGAUCCGUGACUGCUUCCUCAGGAUGUGGUUUUCGGUUCUGGGUUUUAAGGGAGGGGGUGACUCUAUGACAACCGAAGACUUACCUUUUGAUCGGUGGCAGCUGUGAAAGAAAUAUGUGUGAGAAAGUGUUUUCACAUUUAAGUAUGAUAAUGCGCACAAGUGAGAAAGAGCAAGAGAGAGCACCUGCUUUCACACGUGGCAGUAUUUUAAUUUUGUUAGUUGGAGACAAGGGUCGCACACGGCACACAACUCCCAGGUCGACAUGAAGGGAUAGCACACAAGCAAAAGCAACAGGUUAUGGAUAAAGAAAGGGCAACACUGUUUUCAGAUGCUAUGAGCGUCCUUUAACUCGAGGGUGCAGCCAUUUUCAACACGCCACAUGGCUGACCAUACAUCUCCCGAGCCCGAGUCGCUCUCCUACACUCCCAUGUUUCGCCCUCAGACAGAAGGACAAAGGUCAAGCCACGACCUUUACCAGCAAGGUUCAAUGAGUGGGCUCGGCCAGUUUGAGGUCCCGUGUGAAGCCACGGACGGCACCGGGAGCACUAUGAAUGGAAUCGAUCAAUCAGCGAACACUGCUUACUGGGGGAAUACGUCCCCUGUGUCCUCUAUGGGACUGAACAGGAACAAGGCACAAGCUGGAGUUUAUGAGACUGACUGGAGUUCUCACUGCCACCAACAAGAGGCAUUAGAGGGUUAUGAAACAACUGGGCAUCAGCAACAAAAACUGGAUUCUUUCUCCGAGGCGUUUUGCAGUCGUAGCCCCUUCCGAAUGCAGGCCGGAGGAGAGCAGAGCGGCUUCAACAACUCUACUCCUCCUUCACAUACCCUCUCCUUCCCUCUGGUUCUUAGCCCACCGCCAACGCCCUUGCCCCCUCCAUCCUUUUCUCCUCCUAAACGACCUCAACACUUCUCGCCUGGCCAGAUCUUAAGCCAAUCACAGAUAGAUGGGUCACUGCAGUUCUUUCCCUCUUUACCUUCGCCCUCCACCGGCAGGUUCAAUCACCCCAUUUGGCUCCAGCUACAAGCUGACGACAACAACGGCCUGGACUUAACGCAGCACCUCCCGCAAGAUUCAAACUCAUCCAUGGUUUAUUCAGAGCAUGGAGGGCCUCAUCUGAAACAAAUAAACUCCCUGCAGAAAGACUGUUCACUGCAAAUGCCCCUCAACCCUGCACUGGUUCAACAUCAUCAUUCUCAGGCCUGCUUGCAGCAAGAGCUGGGUCACGAGCCCGGGACAUCCGAAGAUCACAUGACAUGGCCUCAGUUUGGGCAAUCAUCCCGUUCAUUUGGACCUUCUCUGCAUCAGUCUAAUCUCCAUGUGCAGGGGUCAGGGCCAGGAGAAGGAACAAGAUUCGGUUAUGGACUGAACUUCGGUCCUGGGUCCUCAGAUAAACCUCUGGGGUCCUCCAGCACACAGGCAAAAUACCUUU
rnacentral:lncRNA from 1 species